GACCUCGUACAUACACACGAGCGGACAAGGGUGAGAAAGGUGAUGCUGAAGAAAAUAAGGUUUUUUCUCCCCACUCAUUGUCAGCACAGUUCUGAGCAUUUAGUGGAUUGACUUACUGAACAGGAGCAAUAGCCAGUUAGAGGUCAUGGAUGAAGGGUCCUACAGAAUGUGAGGAUUCUUGGUACCUUGCCAAGCUAGCUGAGGCCAUCACUGAAGGAGGAGGAGGAGAAGGAGGAGGAAGAGGAGGAGGAGAAGGAGGAGGAAGAGAAGACACAGAAUGUUUGCUAAUAAAAGAAGAAAAACAAUUUCUGCUUCUUCAAGGGCAUCAUACUUCAUACCAUGAAUAUAUACUGUAUCUUCCUUUCUUACUGGGGAGAUGGCAGCAAGUUCAGCAGUCAUCAGAAUGGGACAGAUGCGAAGACAGAGUCCCAGAAAAAGAUGACAGUUCCAUCCUUUCUGGAAGCCUGUCAGGUCAUGGUGCUGAGAGAGGAUGAGCCAGCAACUUGCCAUCUUGCCGUCUUGGGAGUGCUCCAGGAUGACAGCGAAGGAAGGCAGCACAGCCCAGUCCUCUUGUUUACAUGCUUGCUGAGCAAGCUGAUAGUGUGAUGUGAAAAAUGGCUGACAGGCUCACCGCUCCUCCAUCUACUGUGAGCUCAGAAGCCAGGGAACCAAGCAAGGAGAAAUUCAACAGUCAUCAUGCCUGACACCAGCAAAUGGGUCUUCUUGUCCCACCACUCCUGCAAACUCCUUUCCUCUUGCAGUCUCUUUCCUUGCUUAAUCUGGAGACUUCUUCCCUGGUUGGUCACCAAAGGAGCAAAGGCUUUUUGUCUCAAUUAUCUCUGAGAACAAAGGUAUCAGCUGGGUGGCCAGGGAGCUUGGGCGGGGGGAGCUUCUGGGAGGUUCUGAGUGACGGCCUGGCUGAAGCUGGUUUCUAACCUCGAACCUCGUCUCUGAAUAUUUGGGGCCAGAUCAAUCAAGAGAAGGUCUUAAGGUAGCCAGUCCUGGAGUCCUUUGUCUCCACCUGCUUGAUAUAGUAAGUGAGGCCUCUGGAACCAGUCUUUAGGGUCCAGUCACCCUCUAGAGGAGUCAGGCUUUUAGAUUUCAGGGGUAAUAAGGGGAAACAAUUAGCAAAGCUGCCUCCAGACCCCCAUACCUCCAGAUGGGCAGUGAGUAAAUAAAAGAACUAGUUGUAAAGCUAAACACGGGGAAUUUGCCCACCAAGGUAGGAUCCCUGGGAGGCUAAGCCACAUAAUCUGAAGAACAGCAUUUCCCUUUGGAAAAUUCUGGUGAGCUGGUAAAGGUCAAUGCAGGUGAGAGGCGUACCCAAAGCUGUUAACCCAGUGGCCCAGUUUGCCUUGUAAGCCAACAAUACCUACUUUCUGGCUUUAACGUACCAUUGACUCAAACAUGGGCUACUACUUACUGCUCGUAUUUAUCAGUUGCUUAUCACGGGACUGGAAUAGUUCUGAGCGUCUCUUGAGUUUUAUCUUCACAGAAGCCUUCCAGAAGGUGCUAGAAUCCUCAUCUGACCAGAAAACUUAAGCUUUAGAGAGACUGAAUCUUCCAAGCAUGAGUUGAUUCUAGCAUUAAGGAGAAAGGGAAAGCUCCUUGGCACGUCGGAGUUCCUUGCUGCACCACACACCCUGCUGCCUUCCCGGAACCUCGGUCUGUCUUCCUGAUGGGAAAUUUCCACAGCUGGUCUUGAUGAGUCACAGCGAGACAUAGAAACCCUUGGGCAAUGGCAUCCGAGGAGAAAAUGAAGCCUCGGUCCAGAUGUGCGUCUUUGCAGGCUGCUUUCACACCUGCAGGGCACUCCAUUCUUGAAUGUGCUUCUCAUUCCCCAGACAAGCCCAGGGGAUCCACAUCCUCAAAUAAAAGACCUUUCUGUACUAAA